UCCUCCGUAGCUCAAUGGCAGAGCAACCGGCUGUUAACCGGUAGGUUAUUGGUUCGAAUCCAAUCGGAGGAG
rnacentral:tRNA from 1 species